rnacentral:rRNA from 1 species
UACGGAGGGUGCAAGCGUUAAUCGGAAUUACUGGGCGUAAAGCGCACGCAGGUGGCUGAGUCAGUCGAUUGUGAAGGCCCUGGGCUUAACCUGGGAAUUGCAGUCGAUACUACUCAGCUAGAGUAUGGGAGAGGGCAGUGGAAUUCCCGGUGUAGCGGUGAAAUGCGUAGAUAUCGGGAGGAACAUCAGUGGCGAAGGCGGCUGCCUGGCCCAAUACUGACACUCAGGUGCGACAGCGUGGGGAGCAAACAGG